ensembl:lncRNA
CUCCAUUACAAGAAGUGUGCUCUUCCAGAACUCUUUUUGAACUAGUAUAAAGGCAUCGUAGGUACCUGGAGGUUUCUUUGAAAUGUGGACUACUUAAAAUACAUAGAGUGAGAAGGACAUUUUCCACAGAAAUUUUGUGCCCUUCAGUCUGGUCAAGUGGGUAAAAUAUCAUGGAUCCUGGCCACAAGCACAAGCUAGAGACAAGGAAAAUGGCAUACAUCCCAAGCAGUGAUGGGAGAAUCUCUGAAGAAACCUUUAUGAAGUCACGAUGCCAGAUCCCAAACUAGGACGUAAACAGAUGUGUGGAGAUGGCCUCACAUUUAAUGGAUGGGCUGUGUAUGACCUGUCAGGCUUCACGCACCAGCUGUGAGACAUGCAUGCUGAACUCUCAUCUCCUCCUCCUACACGUCAGACAGUGACGGAGUAAUGGGUGCUGUUGCAGCGCAGAUCAGAUCAGCACAAUUCACUCCAACUCACUCUUGCAGGUUCCCAAAAUUACAAGCCCAGCACUGCCUGGUGCUUUGAGAAAAACUCAG